UUUUUUUCCAUGGGGGGCAAUCUCACCUUUAUUAGAAGAGACGCAUCUAUUAGAUAAAAAGCCAAUGCAUGCUUUUACAGUAUGGAAAUUGGUGAUUUAUAAUAACUUGGCAAAUCGCAAAGUGAAAACAGGCGAUAAAUCAUUCAAGUUUCUGACCUAUCAGCUUUCGACGGUAUGGUAUUGGCUUACCGUGGCAGUGACGGUUAACGGGGGAUUAGGGUUUGAUUCCGGAGAGGGAGCCUGAGAAACGGCUACCACAUCUAAGGAAGGCAGCAGGCGCGCAAAUUACCCAAUUCUAACAGUUUGAGAGAGGUAGUAACAAGAAAUAACAAUACAAGGCAAUUAAAAUGCUUUGUAAUUGGAAUGAUAGAAAUUUAAACCCUUUUUAAAGUAUCAAUUGGAGGGCAAGUCUGGUGCCAGCAGCCGCGGUAAUUCCAGCUCCAAUAGCGUAUAUUAAAAUUGUUGCAGUUAACAAAGCUCGUAGUUGAAGUUCUGUUAAAAGUAACCGGUCUGCUUUUAAUAAAAGUGGUAUCUUGGUGUGUAUUUAGCAAUGAUGUCCUUUGAAGUGUUUUUUACUUUAUUGUAAUAAAGCAUAUUCAGGACUUUUACUUUGAGAAAAUUAGAGUGUUUCUAGCAGGCCGACGCUUUGAAUACUGCAGCAUGGAAUAAUAAAGAUAGGGAUUGGUAGUUUCUACAUUAUUGGUUCGGCAAA
rnacentral:rRNA from 1 species